UUCUGAUUCAUGUUAGAGUGCCGUGCUAAAUUUACAUUUUUUCUGUCUCUUUUUUCAGAGUACAUCACAGCAGAUUACACAGACAACAAGCUCCAGUAUCCUAACGAGUGUACCAAGGUUCCAUGAUGAGGUUGGGUGGCAGACAGACUCCCCACAAGUCUCAGAGGCCACACAGACAUACCUACCUCCAAAGGGGUCAUCAGUCCACACACAGUUGGCCCGGGGUACACUAAGGGACAAGCAAAGGAUAUGUCGGGGACUUCAUGGCACUGGUGUUGGAGGUGUUUGGAGAUGUUUCAGGAACCAAAACAAUUCAUGGAGGAGCUGCAGAAAAUGCCUGACUCUCAAAAAGAAGGAGGGCUGGCUCGACACGUGUCCAGGGUCAAGGGGCGGGCCGAAGCCAACAUACUGUCCAGUCGGGUCAGGAAACUCGGGGCGAAUCCUCAGGACGACACACGACAGGAUAACCACUCCAACCCCUGCCAAGUGUCUGCACAGCCUGUAUGGAGACAAUAUAGUUGGAUGUAAAAAUGUUACUUCUCAUUGUAUAUUUACACGUAUAGUUCUACACAAAUGUUUUUUGUUUAACCGAAACUGAGAAUAAAGAACUUUCAA